GAGGCCGAUUCGGUGGAGCACUGCUGUGGACCCGGAAAACUGCGCAAUGUCCAACUGUAACCGGUAUGUUGAGGAUGAGGCCAAGACAGCGCGUGAUGCCCAGGAGAAGUUGCGCUCAUCCCUGGCCAGACUCUCUUGCAGAGGAAAAUAUAAUUUUAAUCAGUAUAGGAGUCACGAAAUGCGCGAACGUUUGCUGCAGACUGCCGAAAUGGAGGCGGAGGAUUUGCAGUAAUGCGCCAGCAAUGGAGCACCGUCUGAAGCGAGCUUGACGAAAGCAAGCUGUAUAACAACGUGGAGUUGGAGUCGAUAGACAAAUUCUUUUCGGCUUACCAAAAGAAUGCGGUAUCGGCUACCGAUGGCUCCUAUGAGGAUCUGCGAGCAACUGGCGGCAAGCCAGCCGGGACGCCGAGCCCAGAACUGCACAACCCUGCUCAGACUGCUCAGCAAGAUGAAGAUGAGCUAUAUGGAGAUAUCAAAGUCCAGAUCCAGUCCAAGCAGCAGCAGCAGCCGCUCAAGCUGACCGUGGUCACCCGCC